rnacentral:rRNA from 1 species
GUCCACGCCGUAAACGAUGAGUGCUAGGUGUCGGGGUCAAACCUCGGUGCCGCAGCUAACGCAUUAAGCACUCCGCCUGGGGAGUACGUACGCAAGUAUGAAACUCAAAGGAAUUGACGGGGACCCGCACAAGCAGCGGAGCAUGUGGUUUAAUUCGAAGCAACGCGAAGAACCUUACCAGGGCUUGACAUGGUAUUGACCGGUUUAGAGAUAGAUCUUUCCCUUCGGGGACAAUACACACAGGUGGUGCAUGGUUGUCGU